GCCACACACCAUUUAAUGGGACACCCAUUUAAUUUUUGGCAUUAAGAAGGAAGAGUCCUUCUUAACAAAGUCUCUUAAAUUUCUUACCAAGUUCCACGCAUUCCUUUUAAUUCCUUAUGUCAUGUGAUGUCUCUUGGGAUUGUGGGGGUAGAUGAGAAGGGGAAGUCCUUCUCUUGGAAGGAACUUCCAUGCAAAAAAUAAAUUGGGAUGUCCCCUCUUUUUGUGCGAUGA
rnacentral:lncRNA from 1 species